GACAGGAGGGUGCAAACGUUGUUCGGAAUUACUGGGCGUAAAGCGCGUGUAGGCGGCUAAGUAAGGUCGGGACGUGAAAUCCCACGGCUCAACCGUGGAAGUGCACUCGAAACUGCAUAGCUAGAGUCCUGGAGAGGAAGGUGGAAUGCUUGGUGUAGAGGUGAAAUUCGUAGAUAUCAAGCGGAACACCGGUGGCGAAGGCGCCUCUGGACAGUGACUGGACGCUGAGACGGCGAAAGCGUGGGGAGCAAACAGG
rnacentral:rRNA from 1 species